UAAAGGGGGAACCUGCCCGCGCACCGGGAAUACGCUCUGGAAANGAGAANAAAUCCCGAUGUACAGGAAGGAGGCAUCUUCUUUCUGUGAAACAUCCUUUAGGGGAUGGGGCGCGGNUGGACCUGCGGUGUAUUAGUUGGUUGGCGGGGUAAAGGCCCACCAAGACGAUGAUGCAUAGCCGGCCUGAGAGGGCGGACGGCCACAUUGGGACUGAGACACGGCCCAGACUCCUGCGGGAGGCAGCAGUAGGGAAUUUUCGUCAAUGGGCGCANGCCUGAACGAGCGAUGCCGCGUGAGUGAAGAAGGCCUUCGGGUCGUAAAGCUCUGUUGCGGGGGAAAAAAGGCAGCAUCAGGAAAUGGGUGCUGACUGAUGGUGCCCCUCCAGAAAGUCACGGCUAACUACGUGCCAGCAGCCGCGGUAAUACGUAGGUGGCGAGCGUUAUCCGGAAUGAUUGGGCGUAAAGGGUGCGCAGGCGGUCCUGCAAGUCUGGAGUGAAACGCAUGAGCUCAACUCAUGCAUGGCUUUGGAAACUGGAGGACUGGAGAGCAGGAGAGGGCGGUGGAACUCCAUGUGUAGCGGUAAAAUGCGUAGAUAUAUGGAAGAACACCAGUGGCGAAGGCGGCCGCCUGGCCUGUUGCUGACGCUGAGGCACGAAAGCGUGGGGGAGCAAAUAGGAUUAGAUACCCUAGUAGUCCACGCCGUAAACGAUGAGGACCAAGUGU
rnacentral:rRNA from 1 species